AUUGAACGCUGGCGGCAUGCCUUACACAUGCAAGUCGAACGGUAACAGGUCUUCGGAUGCUGACGAGUGGCGAACGGGUGAGUAAUACAUCGGAACGUGCCCGAGAGUGGGGGAUAACGAGGCGAAAGCUUUGCUAAUACCGCAUACGAUCUCAGGAUGAAAGCAGGGGACCGCAAGGCCUUGCGCUCACGGAGCGGCCGAUGGCAGAUUAGGUAGUUGGUGGGAUAAAAGCUUACCAAGCCGACGAUCUGUAGCCGGUCUGAGAGGACGACCAGCCACACUGGGACUGAGACACAGCCCAGACUCCUACGGGAGGCAGCAGUGGGGAAUUUUGGGCAAUGGGCCCAAGCCUGAUCCAGCCAUGCCGCGUGCAGGAUGAAGGCCUUCGGGUUGUAAACUGCUUUUGUACGGAACGAAAAGACUCUGGUUAAUGCCUGGGGUCCAUGACGGUACCGUAAGAAUAAGCACCGGCUAACUACGUGCCAGCCGCCGCCGUAAUAC
rnacentral:rRNA from 1 species